rnacentral:lncRNA from 1 species
GCUGUAGUCGCAGGCCGGGUUGAUGAGCGUCAGCUCUGCUGCUGUUUUGCUUUUCUGUUGCGCAGUGUCAAUAGGGGCGACCGAAAAUUAGAAUUGCUAGCUCAAGGACAGGUGCGUUUUCAAAAUUGCGCUGGUGCCCGACGCUGUAUUGAGCGUUUUGCGUGUUUACAUGCCCAUUAGCGAGGCAGCCGAGGUACCGCGGCAUCCCUGAUCAGGCACUUUUUUUUUUUUUUUUUGGUCUUUGACAAUCUCAUCAGUGAAAAUGUCUAUAUUAGUGUGGACUCAGUUUGCAACUUCAUUAUAUUGAAGAAGGUUGAAUCUCUUCGUAUGUUUUACAGCCACUUAUAUUUUGUUUUCCAGGAAUUCUCUUCAUGACCUUUACUCAUUUUUUUUUUUACAUAAGUUAUUGAAAUUUUUUUCCCUAUUGAUGAAAUUGGCUUUGUUGCUGGCAGGCGUUGCAACUCUUUUUGACUUUGUUUAUGAUAUUUUCUUCCAUGUAGGUUUUUAAUGCCAAAUGAAUCUCUAUUUUCAUGACUUCAGGAGUUUGCUCCCCACAUAAGAUUUUCAGUAGCUUUAAAGCUCAGGCUGGUGUCUGGGACCUAGAGUUGCUGCUCUUUGGAAGACUGACGCAGGAGGAAGAGCUCAAGGCCAGCCUGAAGUUUCUGGUUUUCAGGACAAGAACCAAGAAUAACGAAACACUUUAAAAACGGCUGUUUCACAACACAGACUCCAUCCCUUGAAAUGUUAUUUUCCAACUGCCUCAAGUGGUUUCUACUUCCGCUGCUGCAUGCCCAUGAUACAAUGCUCCCAAGGCAAUUAGAAUGAUGAUCUUAGUCUUGGGGUUUGGUGUCGAAGGAUGAUGAGACAGCCAUUCAAUACGUGAGCAGAAAAAGCCAAAACAAGGUUUUGUGCCCUCCCGGAAGGAGGGGCUAUGUCAGUAGGCACAGUCUCACCCAGUGGAGCAGGCUGUUGAUCCUGCGUGCAUUGGGGAAGAAUGGGUCCAGGGAUAGGGAAUGCAUUUCAGAGGCAAAAAGAUUUGACACCAUCUGUAGAAGAGUGGAUUGUUGUUAACUCUCCAAUGAAUUUAUUGGAGAGUAUCUGUGAUUAGCUGGCGUUUGGGGGGGCGUGGCUUUGCAAAACCAGAUUCUAG